rnacentral:rRNA from 1 species
GAUAAACGCUGGCGGCGUGCCUAAUGCAUGCAAGUCGCACGGGAGCCCUUCGGGGUCGACCGUGGCGGACGGGUGAGGAACACGUGGCUAACCUGCCCACUGGUGGGGGAUAACCGCGGGAAACCGUGGCUAAUACCGCAUACGCUCGCUGGAUGGGACUCUGGUGAGGAAAGCCGCAAGGCGCGAGUGGAGGGGGCUGCGGCCGAUUAGCUAGUGGGUGGGGUAACGGCCUACCAAGGCGGUGAUCGGUAGCUGGUCUGAGAGGACGAGCAGCCACACGGGGACUGAGACACGGCCCCGACUCCUACGGGAGGCAGCAGCAAGGAAUUUUCCCCAAUGGGCGCAAGCCUGAGGGAGCAACGCCGCGUGGGGGAUGACGCGUUUCGGCGUGUAAACCCCUUUUCGAGCGGACGAAACCAAUGACGGUACGCUCGGAAGAAGGCCCGGCUAACUACGUGCCAGCCGCCGCGGUAACAC